rnacentral:rRNA from 1 species
UACGUAGGGCGCAAGCGUUGUCCGGAAUUAUGGGGCGUAAAGAGCUCGUAGGCGGUUUGUCGCGUCUGCUGUGAAAACCUAAGGCUCAACCUUGGGCUUGCAGUGGGUACGGGCAGACUAGAGUGCGGUAGGGGUGACUGGAAUUCCUGGUGUAGCGGUGGAAUGCGCAGAUAUCAGGAGGAACACCGAUGGCGAAGGCAGGUCACUGGGCCGCAACUGACGCUGAGGAGCGAAAGCAUGGGGAGCGAACAGG